UACGUAGGUGGCGAGCGUCGCCCGGAUUUACUGGGCGUAAAGGAUGCGUAGGCGGAUGUUUAAGUCAGAUGUGAAAAUCCCGAGCUUAACUUGGGAACUGCAUCCGAAACUGGCAGACUAGAGUCUUGUAGAGGGGGGUAGAAUUCCAGGUGUAGCGGUGAAAUGCGUAGAGAUCUGGAGGAACACCAGUGGCGAAGGCGGCCUACUGGGCUUUAACUGACGCUGAAGCACGAAAGCAUGGGUAGCAAAC
rnacentral:rRNA from 1 species